rnacentral:sRNA from 1 species
GCCAGGCAUGGUGGCGCAUGCCUGUAAUUCCAGUGGCUCAUGAGACUGAGGCAGGAGGAUCACAAGUUCAUAGCCAGCCUCAGCAACAGUGAGGUGCUAAGAAACUCAGUGAGACCCUGUCUCUA